AUUUAAAUUGAUUUUGUUCUGUCUGUGAUUUUGUAGAUCUGGAUGUUCUGCUGGUCUCAGAUCAAGCAUCCUCCUCUGUACUGACUCCACUAUCCCCAGCUUCAUCCCAUUCAUCAGAUUCCACAAUUGUCCUGGAGUCCAGAAGAAAGAGGAGGAACCCAACAGGGUUAAUGGAGCAGAAUGAAGCAAGACAGAAAGUUGAUUGUGUUCUGAGUGCCAAUCCAAAGAGUGAGGAAAUCUUCAAGGAGUAUGAAAAGACCAAAACACUAACAUGUCUGCAAACAGGACGUUCACCAUCUGUUUACGUGUGGCAUAUGUUAGAGCUACAUGGGAGGAUUCCAUGGUCAAGUGUGAGGACCAAUUAUGCACUGGGAAUUGUGACACUUUUUCCAUACCUCCAAGAUCCUUUCUCCAAACAUGGAUAUGAACACUACUAUGAUCCUUUAGGGUAAUACUGGCUUCAUUGCAUGGAGGAUCAAGACAGUUCAACAUAACACCUGUGCUAGCUCCCGGUGUCAUUCCAAGACUGUUCUUCAGGAUGGUCCAAAAAACAACCAAGAAUCUCUGUUAACUUGUCAACAGCAAUUUGGUGAGGAGUGCAGGGAGGCGAUAUCUACAAUACGAUAUUUCACUGAUGAGAAGAUGAGCGACUUUCCAGUAUUGACAGAAGAUGGUGGGUGAGGAUGCAUCAUCUUCUGUCCUGGAUUUGUUCACUUGUUUCCUUGCUGUAUCUGGAUUGAUCGACCACGAUUUCUCCAUGAUGUUUGGUGACGAAGUGUCUCAGAAGUUCCUGGCAAAGUGGUCAACAUUCUUCAAGCCAAAAAUCAUUGCAGACUGCAAGACUCUUAAGAAUAUGGGCGAGCUGCUGUCAGGAACUGAACCUGAAUCUGAGGACUAAAAUGGAUGGGACAGCGACAUGUCCUCAAUCCUUUUGCAGCUGCAUCUGCUCCCUCUAACCUCAAGAGGCCAGAAAAAAAAUAUCCAAGAUCAGUUCAGCUCAAGCAACCAGCCAUCUUGUGAGCUAUCUUAAGGAAGGAGCCAGUGUGACUACCUUCAUUGAGAGUGCUGACACAAGACAACCAUUUCUCCUCUGCAUCGGUGAGCGAAAGAAGGAUAUCCAAAAGUUCUACAUUAUUAUCGACCAAAAGGCGAUCCCAUGUAAGGCGCACACAUCAGUGGCAGCUUUUGAUGAACUGUUCAAAGCUCACUAUGUCUUCAGUUUCUCAUACGAUGAAGCUCUUUGUGAUUUCUACACAUUUAUCCAAACCACUAUAUAUAACAUCGAUGUCAGAAGAGCAAUGGAGAGCCUGCGUGUUAAAGAACUUCGAGCAUGAUUGCUGCAGCGAGAUUAACUGCCUUGAAGAUGUUCACAUGUUUUGUAUGUAAAGCACACCUCAGAACUUGUUUGGUUCUUCGCCAACAUUUAAAAUUUCAACAUGGUUUAUAUCCUAGCAAAAAGUUACAUUUAAAAUGUGGAGAGCCAGGUCGCCUGUUACCAUUUUGUACUUAUAGUGGCUUCCGAAAACAUCUCAGCAAGGUACAUAGUCACACUAUGGAUCAGGAGAUUGAUACUAAUCAGGAUCUUUCCACUCAGGGAGAAUAUGAGGCGGAAUGUUCAAAUGAUCGCCCAAGUUUACAAAGUUGGAGUUUACAAAGACAUUAAUGAUGGGUCGUGUUUCCAAAACCAUGCACUGUUCUCACAGCAAAAGCAUGCUUUUCAGAUUCUACUCUAUCACAACGAUUUUGAAACUGCUAACCCUCUAGGUUCCAAGAGGGGGAUCCACAAACUUGGUUGAAUCUAUUUUACUCUAAAAAAAUCUUCCACCCAAGUGUAACUCUGUACUGAUUAAUGUACAUCUUACAGCUUGAUUCUACACAGAAGAUCUUAAGACAUAUGGUUUUGAUGUGAUACUAAAGCCCCUUAUUGAUGACCUGAAAAUCUUAGAAACCGAAGGCAUACAGCUUCCUUGUUUUGAACAACCAUUGUUUGGCUCAGUAAUUCAAGUAACAGGAGAUAAUUUGGCUUUAAAUGGCUUGCUGGGAAUCUUACAGUGCAACUAAUUUCUGUAGGCUUUGUUUAAUUAGUAAGGAAGAAGUUCAAUCUAUAUUUACUGAAGAUCAUCCUGGGUUAAUUUUUCGUUCCAAAGAGGUUCAUACUCAUACCCAUAAGUGGGUUAAAAAUGGAUGAUAAGGGCAAACACCUGGGUUUGAAUGCCAUACAGUCAUGGUGUCUUCUGCACAACACUCCACUGAUAUUUGGUGGUCAUUGAAAGGAAUAACAAUCACUGGAACUUUCUCCUACUUUUGAUACAGAUUGUCAAUAUAGUGUUCUCCUACACCAUAACUGAUGGGAUGAUAUGUUACUUAAAACAUCUGAUCUGUGAUCACCAUACUCUAUUCAAAGAAUUGAUUCCUGACAAGACGUCGAUUCCCAAGCACCACUUGAUGAUGCACUAUCUGAGAUGCAUAAAAAAAAAUGGCCCUCUUAUCCAUAUGUGGUGAAUGCGAUUUGAAGCUAAGCACCAUAUUUUCAAAAGAUGUGGCAAAAAUUUCAAGAAUCUCAUUAAAUCAUUAGUAAAGCAACAUCAACGUCAAUUGGCAUUUAACUGUGAAAAUGAUUGUUUUAGAAGGUUUGAAUUUGGUCCUACAUCAAAAACCAUCUGUAACUUGCAAGGUGGGGAAGAACUCAGUCAGACAUUAUAUUUAGAAGCCUGUUUGAGUGUUACAAGUACAAAGUGGGUCAGACAUUAUGGUACUGAGUAUCAGGUUGGUGUGUUCAUAUGCACUGGAUGUACCUAUGAUCUCCCUGUGUUCAAAAAGAUCUGUGAUAUAAUAAUAUAUGAAGAGAGUGCUUUCAUUAUUUCCUGCAAUGUAAAAACGAUGUACUAUGAUGACCACUUCAAUGCAUACUGUAAAGAAGAUAACCAAAUGGAUGAGUUUUCUGUCAUCUCUGUGAAUGAACUGACACACUUUAGGCCAUUUGAUCAGCAGUGCUCUAAUGAGAAUAAUCAAAGAGAGUACAUAGUGCCCAAUUGUUAUAUUUAGAAAGCCUUGACCUGAGGGGUCAGUAAUGUUAACGCCCUUGAAAAAAAGAAAACUAUUAUAAAGCAACCAACUGUUUUUUUUUUCUUUAUUUGCCUUUUAGAUUUGCAAUCAUUUGAA